rnacentral:rRNA from 1 species
GACGAACGCUGGCGGCGUGCCUAAUACAUGCAAGUCGAGCGGACCACUUCGGUGGUCAGCGGCGGACGGGUGAGUAACACGUGGGCAACCUGCCUGUAAGACUGGGAUAACACCGGGAAACCGGUGCUAAUACCGGAUAAUCCUUCUCUUCUCAUGAAGAGAAGCUGAAAGACGGUUUCGGCUGUCACUUACAGAUGGGCCCGCGGCGCAUUAGCUAGUUGGUGAGGUAACGGCUCACCAAGGCAACGAUGCGUAGCCGACCUGAGAGGGUGAUCGGCCACACUGGGACUGAGACACGGCCCAGACUCCUACGGGAGGCAGCAGUAGGGAAUCUUCCGCAAUGGACGAAAGUCUGACGGAGCAACGCCGCGUGAGCGAUGAAGGCCUUUGGGUCGUAAAGCUCUGUUGUCAGGGAAGAACAAGUACCGGAGUAACUGCCGGUACCUUGACGGUACCUGACCAGAAAGCCACGGCUAACUACGUGCCAGCCGCCGCUGUAA